GAAUUGCCGGUAUUCGUACGAUCACUAAAGUUAAGCAACGUCGAGACUGGUGAGUACUUCGAUGGGUGACCGCUUGUGAAUACGAGAUGCUGUAAG